CUUAUGGCGCUCUCUCUCUCUCUCUCUCUCUCUCUCUCUCUCUCGCCGGCGAACGGCGGCCGACGACUGCGAGCGGCAGGCGACGGCAUCGAGCAGCGGCAAUCAAUAGUGAAGAUUUCUCUCGAUCUCAUAAACACAGCGCAGCUCUCACUCUCAUCUCAUCAGUCUCACUCUCUCGUUUUUCAUCUGGAUCGAUCGGAUCAACCUUGCAAGAGAUCGACUCUCUCUCAUCACAAGAUCGAUCGAUCGACUUCACUCUCUCAUCGCACCGAUCGAGCCUCUCGGCGAAGAGACCGAUUGACCUUCGAAAAAACCAAUCUGCUCUGCAACUCACAGGCUACUGUGUAAAUUCAUCAAAUGAAUCAAUGGCUACUGUGUAAAUUCUUCAUCUAGAAGAAAGGGAGGUUCUGAAGUGUUGUUAGUAUAAACAUGAAUCUUGAGAUUGUUUUUUCACUAUGCAAUCAAUCCCCACCGACAUGCCUCACCUCUCUCGAGUCCCCGGCGUUCUUUCCACUGGAAAUGGAGUUUGCUCAUUCUUUGAGGUAGAGCAAAGUGAACCUUAAGAUAUGCCAGUACUCCUAUGAGCUUCUACUGCAAUAUUUACACAAGACACAAUCCAUUACAAUGCUUGGGAUUAUUAAUGAGCAUAUUAACUUUCAAGGUGCAGCUCCCUGCUCGUUAAUUGCAUGUUUCUCAUCAUGAUAAUAUUUUUUCUACUGUAUCUUGGUGUUUUAGUUAAUUUUUUUCUUUUUCAUUGAGCUAAUAAUACCUCUUUGCAAUUUCUCCUGGACAACCAAGCUCAAUUUCUGAUGAUGAAGGUGUUACACUUGUUGGGAGUGGCCAGGAUGCAGCCAAUCUGAUAAAUCAGAAAGAAAUACACUGGGGGAUAAAAGAGCGACUGAUCCAGGUUACAUGCCAUAGGGAGGCCCGUGUCAAAAUUGAAGGAUUCUGUGCUGUAAUUAUUGGGAGUGAUGCCUUAAUCCACGCCUAAAUGCCAGAUGAUAUGAUGAUGUGUUUGCUUUUUGUUGAAUGCUGGUCUCAGUGUCAUGGCCAAGAAACCCGAUUCUUUUGUAGUUUCUUGCCAUCUCUACACAGUUUCAGAGAAUGCUGAUAAUGCCUGGGAGAAUCUUUGGCCCCCUUUUGUAUAUCUUAGCUUUUAUUUUGGUCUUUUGUUAAUAUAUUCUUUAUUUAUGGAUCUAGUGGCCAAUUUGCAUUC